rnacentral:rRNA from 1 species
UCUGGAGACAAUGGCAAAGAGGUCACACCUGUUCCCAUGCCGCACACAGACGUUAAGCUAUUUAGCGCCGCUGGUAGUCGGACUUACAUUCCGCAAGAGGAGGAAGUUGCCAGUC